CGCAUCUGUGCAUGCAGCAUAUCAAUAAGCGGAGGAAAAGAAACUAACAAGGAUUCCCCUAGUAACGGCGAGUGAAGCGGGAAGAGCUCAAAUUUGAAAUCUUAAAGGGUUUCCCUUUACGAAUUGUAGUUUAAAGAAGUGUUUUCUGUUGAGGUUUUGGUAAAAGUUCUUUGGAAUAGGACAUCAUAGAGGGUGAGAAUCCCGUAUUUGACCUUUACUUUCACCUUUGUGAUACACUUUCAAAGAGUCGGAUUGUUUGGGAAUGCAGUCCAAAAUGGGUGGUAAAUUUCAUCUAAAGCUAAAUAUUGGCGAGAGACCGAUAGCGAACAAGUACCGUGAGGGAAAGAUGAAAAGAACUUUGAAAAGAGAGUUAAACAGUACGUGAAAUUGUCAAAAGGGAAGCGUUUGACACCAGUGUUGUUUUUCUGAAAAUCAAUUAAAGAACUGUUUAUGCUAAGCUGUUUAGACUUUAUCAGCUAACUGUUUAGUUUUGAGCUUUUCUUUAAUGCACUUUUCAGUUAACAAGUCAACAUCAAUUUCUUUUGCUGUAAAAAAGCUUGAGGAAGGUGGCUUGAGAUUCGUCUUAAGUGUUUAUAGCCUCUUGCCUAUGCAGUCGGAGGAGAUUGAGGUCUGCAGCGUAGAUCCUUCGGGGCUAAAUGCAUUUGUGCUAAGUUAUAGCAUUUUAUAGACAACUUGUUGACUAUGAUUUGUCUUGUAGCUUACUCGCUUAUGUUAUUUUACCUACGCUUAGGAUGUUGAGCGCAUGUCUCUCUCU
rnacentral:rRNA from 1 species